GAUGAACGCUGGCGGCGUGCCUAAUACAUGCAAGUCGAGCGGUAAGGCCCCUUCGGGGGUACACGAGCGGCGGACGGCUGAGUAACACGUAGGAACGUACCCCAAAGUGAGGCAUAAGCACCAGAAAUGGUGUCUAAUACCGCAUGUGGCCCUAGGGCUAAAAGCUCCGGCGCUUUGGGAACGGCCUGCGUAUGAUUAGUUUGUUGGUGAGGUAAUGGCUCACCAAGACUACGAUCAUUAGCUGGUCUGAGAGGAUGAUCAGCCAGACUGGGACUGAGAACGGCCCAGACUCCUACGGGAGGCAGCAGUAGGGAAUUUUCCACAAUGGACGAAAAGUCUGAUGGAGCAACGCCGCGUGCAGGAUG
rnacentral:rRNA from 1 species